CUUCCGUAGGUGAACCUGCGGAAGGAUCAUUACAGAAUUUUGAGAAUUGUGCUUAACUGCACUUUUCUUAUCUACACACGUGUUUUUGUUUUAUUCUUAAAACUUGCUUUGGCAGUGGCUGCUUAAUUGCUCUGCUGCCAGAGGAUAAACUCAACCUAAAUUUUUUAUUUUAAACUAGUCAACUGAUUAUAUUUAUUAAUAGUCAAAACUUUCAACAACGGAUCUCUUGGUUCUCGCAUCGAUGAAGAACGCAGCGAAAUGCGAUAAGUAAUAUGAAUUGCAGAUAUUCGUGAAUCAUCGAAUCUUUGAACGCACAUUGCGCCCUCUGGUAUUCCGGAGGGCAUGCCUGUUUGAGCGUCAUUUCUCCCUCAAACCCCCGGGUUUGGUGAUGAGCAAUACGCCAGGUUUGCUUGAAAGUUAGGAGGAGUAUUUAUAACAAUGUAUUAGGUCUAACCACUCCAUUGUGCUUAAUAAAAGCUCCAAUCUAUAUUUCAAACUUCGACCUCAAAUCAGGUAGGAUUACCCGCUGAACUUAAGCAUAUCAAUAAGCCGGAGGAAAAGGAUC
rnacentral:rRNA from 1 species